UACGUAGGUGGCAAGCGUUGUCCGGAUUUAUUGGGUUUAAAGGGUGCGUAGGCGGCCCAUUAAGUCAGUGGUGAAAUCCAACAGCUCAACCCCGGAACUGCCGUUGAUACUGGCGGGCUUGAGUUCGGUCGAGGCGGGCGGAACUGGUGGUGUAGCGGUGAAAUGCAUAGAUACCACCAAGAACCCCGAUUGCGAAGGCAGCUCGCUGGGCCGAAACUGACGCUGAGGCACGAAAGCGUGGGGAGCGAACAGG
rnacentral:misc_RNA from 1 species